GCCCGGCUAGCUCAAUCGGUAGAGCGUGAGACUCUUACGAUUCUCAGGAGUCAAGGCAUCUCAAGGUUGCGGGUUCGACCCCCGCGUUGGGCU